rnacentral:rRNA from 1 species
UCCGGAGGAUCCGAGCGUUAUCCGGAUUUAUUGGGUUUAAAGGGUGCGUAGGCGGCCUGUUAAGUCAGGGGUGAAAGACGGUAGCUCAACUAUCGCAGUGCCCUUGAUACUGAUGGGCUUGAAUGUACUAGAGGUAGGCGGAAUGUGACAAGUAGCGGUGAAAUGCAUAGAUAUGUCACAGAACACCAAUUGCGAAGGCAGCUUACUAUGGUAUAAUUGACGCUGAGGCACGAAAGCGUGGGGAUCAAACAGG